UACGUAGGGGGCGAGCGUUGUCCGGAGUUACUGGGCGUAAAGGGCACGCAGGCGGUUGUGUCAGUUUGCGGGGACAGUGGGUGGCUUAACUGCCCAAGGGUCGCAAAGACGGCACGACUGGAGAGCGAGAGAGGGACCUGGAACUCCGGGUGGAGCGGUGAAAUGCGUAGAGAUCCGGAAGAACACCACUGGCGCAGGCAAGGUCCUGGCUCGUAUCUGACGCUGAGGUGCGAAAGCUAGGGGAGCGAACGGG
rnacentral:rRNA from 1 species